rnacentral:lncRNA from 1 species
GGAAGAUAUUUUUUGAAAAUUUACUUCUCAGCUGAAUCUUAGUCUUUACAUUUUUGAAAAUGUGGAUAGGUAUACUAGCUGUAGCUUUUUUUCUGAGAAUUAUGUGAACUGAUGUCUGUGAAAUGCACAACAUGACAGUCACAUGCAAGUGGUGUAUGUCAGUAUUAAUACCCUUUCCCAUUGCUUUGCCAAAUAUUCUUGGCUACCAAAAGUAGAGAACACACUCUCCAAAUGGAAAGAAUUCCUUUCUCACCAUUCCAGACUGCUGUAGACUUGUAUCUGAGCAGCACUUAACUUCAAAACCUCAAGAUGAAAGUGGGUUUCCUUUGGUAUUCCCUCCUGGGAUUUGCUCACCUCUGCCUCCCCAUUUACCAGUGCUGUGGAGCCCAGGAAAUAAAACUCAUGUCUGGCUUUUGCAACUCCUGAGCAACCUUCAUCCCAACUUUUGAAAAAAAAAAAAAAAAACACAACCUGAUUGCACUAGAAUAUUUACCUUACUUUUCUCCUUUGAUGUCAAUGUCCUUUCUAAAUAUCUAUUUCCAUACAAAUCAAUAUGUGUUCGAAACACUGCAGAUUUGAUAGAAUCAUAUGUUUUUGCAUAUAUUUUUUGCAUAUGACUACUAUUCAUUUCAGAAAUAAUUGCACGGUAUUCAGCAUCUGCUCAAUAGUAUUGGAUUAUUUUAAUUGUUCUGAUUGUAGACUGCUUGGUGUUGGCAAUCCCUAGCUUGGCACUCUGCUCCCUAGAGCGAUCCUUUGGCUGUUAAAAAUAUUUCUAAAAUCCCCCUUUUUAUUUGAACAAUCAGUUAAAAGUUCUCUUCCUUAUCAUGGAAACUAGAUUUUAAAAUUUUCAGGUAAAAUAAGGUAGUUCAUAUUAAUCUGUAACUAAAUCAAUGUUUCUAAGGGAGCAUUCUUAUUUUACAAAGAAUGUAUUAAUUCAUGUAAACUUCUAAAGAGAAUAUUGCAUGGAUGAAGAUACUUUUUGUUCUGUUUGCUUAUUUGUUUUCCUUUGAGAGCAGUUGAUAAUCAUGGGGUAAUUCCUUAACCAAUCUCUCUGGGAACAAGAAACAUCUGAAUUAAGAUUAUAAUCACCAAAUCAAGAACACAACAGUAGUCUCUCUCCCCUCCCUUUCCUCAUCAUUGUGAGUAACUCUUCUCUUAAUAAUGAAAAAAGGAACACAAGUGUUAGCAUGGUGGAGUACUUGAGUCAGAAACCCAAAGUGUGAGCAUUCUCUCAUUGGUAGUUGUGUUUUCUAAUUCAUAAUUAAUAAUGGAGUCAACGACCCAUUUCUAAGUUUUCUGGCAAUUCAUUUCUCUCAGUAUCUGGGGUGUGUGUUUGCGUGUGUGUGUGCUGUGCAAGGGUGAGUGGGGAGAUGCGAGGGGUGUGAAGGGAUGUGGCGUUGUUUAUGUGUGGGAGGUGUGGGUGUGUAUGGGUGAGUGAUAAAAAGGAAUAUUGAAGAGCACAGAAGAGACCCCCAGGAAGGAAUGCCUGGAGGGACACAGUCAUCUCACAGGAAAUCAGCUGUGCUCCCAUGUCCUUUUACUAAGUAGUCAGAAGAACAUCAAAGGGCCCAGUUAGAAAGCAAUAGCAUUUGAUCAUCUACAAGUUGGUUUGGGAUUUUCAACAGUAUGAAAUCAAUGAUUGAUUGCUUUUGACAUUGUGUGAAAACCACCCUUAUUUAUGAAAAGACAAAAACUGUGCAAUGUGAUAAUAAAAUAUACCAAAUAAAACUGAAUCCAGAGGAGCUCAUAAGUGAUGUGAUGUGAUGUGAUGUGUGUGUGUGUGUGAGAGAGAGAGAGAGAGAGAGAGAGAGAGAGAAUAACAAGUUAAAGCAAGGAGAAAAGUAAUGGGAAUAAAUGGUCAUUGGGUAAUUUGAAUUAAAAUCUAAUCAAGAAUGAAUGAAGUUAUAUAGUAUGCCCUAGGAAAAAGUAAAACAGAAAAAUAGAGAAGAGUUAUAUUAAAUUUUCUGUAAAAAUAUAACAUCAAAUUGCUGCAAUAGAAUGCCUCAACAGUUGCUCACUUGCAUCCACUGUUUCUGUGAUAGAGAUGCAUGAAUUCAUACAAACAGGUUUUUGGGGUCAGGAUUUAAAGAUCAGUGGUAGAGCACUUUCCUAGCAAGCUUCAGAUGCUGAAGUUGGUCACCAGAAUGGCAUUCUUUGCCAAUAGUACUCAAUUUAAAGAUGUCACAAUGAUCCUAGGAUAAUGUAGUUGUAAUUUUAGAAACCAUAACCAGAGACACUGGCAAUACCAUGCAGAAACUUGUGAUACUGGCUUAGUGUUUCAUAAAGCUCUAGAACAAGGUUGCAGGCAAUGGUUAUCGAGGGUAUAUGUGGCUGAGAUGGGAAGCAAGUUUCCAGCUAUAAAUAAGUUUGCAGAGUGAAAAAGUUGUAUUGGGUAAUUUUUAAUGUUUAGGUUUUAGCACAGAGUUUUAGUUUAGGAUCUAAAAGGUUCUUGUGAGAAACGAUUUUAAAAUUCUGUAGAAGACUUUAUCCCAAAAUUAGAUACAAUAAUAAUAACAACAAAAUGAAAAUAAGUUCUGCAUGCAACUAAGCAUUAUCCACUUUAGAUUUAGUAAGAUAACUCAUAAAACUGAAAAAAAAAAAAGGAAAAUAAGGAAGUUGGG